AAGUAAGACCUCUUAAAUCAUUCUGAAGUCAGUUUUAAGCAGAAAUGAAAUGAUGCAUGCGCAAUAAAGGCAGGUUGAACAGAUUUUUUGUGGGGGACCGUUUGGCUGGCGGCACUGAGCCCCCAGGUUGAGACAGUGAAGCCCCUCCCCCUUAAAAAGGACAUAAAAUAUGUCAGACUGAUCCAGAUCGAUCAGUGGUUCACGUUUAAAGAUGACCUUUGACCUGCUCUGAAUACAAACACAAAGAACAUCUGUGAACGUGCACAUACGUACACAGUCUGUUUGAAGGCAUUCCUAAUAUUGUGUCCAGCUGACAUGUUGAACUGGCUCAACCUUCUGUGGUGUCUUCAGUAAAAAUGCCAACAGUCUGAGGAGGAAACGCCCUUGUCAAAUUUCCUGCUCUUCCAGCAACAGUUAAGCAGCGUGUCGCUGGCAGGAAGCCACCAACAAACCCACCGUUGCCACCACCAUGCAUCCUCUGCUGGUUUUCAUUCUGUGGACUCUGGUGUCAGGAGGUGAGCUUCACGUGUUAAAUUACAAACAUUCAGAUUUGACACUUUGUUCAAACCUGCAGCUGCUUCAGAGGCGUCGUGGCGGCUUCCCUCCUCUUUUGAUAUUCAACACUUUCAUCUCAAUCAGGCUGCAGAAAUGUUCUGAUUAAACACUUUCUAUUUUUCUUACAAAGAUCUCAGAAUUAUUUUUUCAAAUAAUAAAACAGAAGGACAAAGUUACAUUUAUUAAUCAGAUCAAACUGAUAAUAACACAAAUAUGAUCAGUGGUUUUAACACUUAAAUAUCACAUUUAAAAAAAAUUAUUUGUAAAUUGUUCAAACUUCUUGUCUAUGUGAAGAUGUUUGAAACAAACAUUUUGUAUUUUUGUACAAAGAAAUAUUUCCCUUUGUUUCUACAAAUAAAGGUCAAAGUUCAAAGUGGCUCUUUACUCAACAGGCCAUGUGACAUUAAUGUGGUCUUGAUGUGUUUUGUUUGUAUCUUCUGUGUCUGCCGUGUUUUUAGACACGGAGGUCGUUGUCGUGGCGCCCGGCGAGGAUGUCACUCUCAUUUGUCAGGCACCUGCUAACAUCACGCUGCUGACAUGGAGCCGCCGUGACCUCAAACCCUUUUAUGUCUUCUUCUACCAGGACCAGCACGAGUACAAAAACUUCCAGCAUCAGUCUUUCAGGGGCCGCGUGAAGCUGAAAGCACCACACAUGAGGGGCGGAGACUCCACCGCCAUCCUGAAGAGCACCAUCUUCAGUGACAAUGGAACGUACGAGUGCUCCGUUUCAGACAAUGGUGAGGACCCCACUGUGAGGAAAACGUCUCGCUGAGGAUCACUGAAGCAGAUGGUGCCACAGACAAACAAGUGAUGCAAAUUGUUGGAGGGGUUUUGUCUUCACUUGGCGUAGUCAUGUCGUGUUUGCAGCGUGAUAUGUAAGACCCGUAGAAGGACAAUUCGCAGCUGUGUCAUCACACGCCACGUUUAAC